rnacentral:rRNA from 1 species
UACGUAGGGGGCUAGCGUUGUCCGGAUUUAUUGGGCGUAAAGAGCGUGUAGGCGGCCAUGUAGGUCCGGUGUGAAAACUCGAGGCUUAACCUCGAGAUGUCAUCGGAAACCAUUUGGCUAGAGUCCGGAAGAGGAGAGUGGAAUUCCUGGUGUAGCGGUGAAAUGCGCAGAUAUUCGGAAGAACACCAGUGGCGAAGGCGGCUCACUGGCCCGGUACUGACGCUGAGGUGCGAAAGCGUGGGGAGCAAACAGG